rnacentral:rRNA from 1 species
GACGAACGCUUGCGGCGUGCUUAACACAUGCAAGUCGAACGGAAAGGCCCUGCUUUUGUGGGGUGCUCGAGUGGCGAACGGGUGAGUAACACGUGAGUAACCUGCCCUUGACUUUGGGAUAACUUCAGGAAACUGGGGCUAAUACCGGAUAGGAGCUCCUGCUGCAUGGUGGGGGUUGGAAAGUUUCGGCGGUUGGGGAUGGACUCGCGGCUUAUCAGCUUGUUGGUGGGGUAGUGGCUUACCAAGGCUUUGACGGGUAGCCGGCCUGAGAGGGUGACCGGCCACAUUGGGACUGAGAUACGGCCCAGACUCCUACGGGAGGCAGCAGUGGGGAAUAUUGCACAAUGGGCGGAAGCCUGAUGCAGCAACGCCGCGUGCGGGAUGACGGCCUUCGGGUUGUAAACCGCUUCCGCCUGUGACGAAGCGUGAGUGACGGUAAUGGGUAAAGAAGCACCGGCUAACUACGUGCCAGCAGCCGCGGUGAUACGUAGGGUGCGAGCGUUGUCCGGAUUUAUUGGGCGUAAAGGGCUCGUAGGUGGUUGAUCGCGUCGGAAGUGUAAUCUUGGGGCUUAACCCUGAGCGUGCUUUCGAUACGGGUUGACUUGAGGAAGGUAGGGGAGAAUGGAAUUCCUGGUGGAGCGGUGGAAUGCGCAGAUAUCAGGAGGAACACCAGUGGCGAAGGCGGUUCUCUGGGCCUUUCCUGACGCUGAGGAGCGAAAGCGUGGGGAGCGAACAGGCUUAGAUACCCUGGUAGUCCACGCUGUAAACGGUGGGUACUAGGUGUGGGGUCCAUUCCACGGGUUCCGUGCCGUAGCUAACGCUUUAAGUACCCCGCCUGGGGAGUACGGCCGCAAGGCUAAAACUCAAAGGAAUUGACGGGGCCCCGCACAAGCGGCGGAGCAUGCGGAUUAAUUCGAUGCAACGCGUAGAACCUUACCUGGGUUUGACAUGGAUCGGGAGUGCUCAGAGAUGGGUGUGCCUCUUUUGGGGUCGGUUCACAGGUGGUGCAUGCCUGUCGUCAGCUCGUGUCGUGAGAUGUUGGGUUAAGUCCCGCAACGAGCGCAACCCUUGUUCACUGUUGCCAGCACGUUAUGGUGGGGACUCAGUGGAGACCGCCGGGGUCAACUCGGAGGAAGGUGGGGAUGACGUCAAGUCCUCAUGCCCCUUAUGUCCAGGGCUUCACGCAUGCUACAAUGGCUGGUACAGAGAGUGGCGAGCCUGUGAGGGUGAGCGAAUCUCGGAAAGCCGGUCUCAGUUCGGAUUGGGGUCUGCAACUCGACCUCAUGAAGUCGGAGUCGCUAGUAAUCGCAGAUCAGCAACGCUGCGGUGAAUACGUUCCCGGGGCU